rnacentral:tRNA from 1 species
UCCCUGGAGGACUAGUGGUUAGGCCUCUCACCACCCUGGCCUGGGUUCGAUUCCUGGCCAGGGAA